UACGUAGGGUGCGAGCGUUAAUCGGAAUUACUGGGCGUAAAGCGUGCGCAGGCGGUUUUGUAAGCCAGAUGUGAAAUCCCCGGGCUUAACCUGGGAAUGGCAUUUGGGACUGCAAGGCUGGAGUGUGGCAGAGGAGACUGGAAUUCCUGGUGUAGCAGUGAAAUGCGUAGGUAUCAGGAGGAAUACCGAUGGCGAAGGCAGGUCUCUGGGCUGACACUGACGCUCAUGCACGAAAGCGUGGGGAGCAAACAGG
rnacentral:rRNA from 1 species